CGUUGAUACCGUUCAUUUAUUUCUAUUUAACUGCUUAGAUUUAAUUUUGUUUAAAUUGUGACCUGCAAUAUAUAGCAGGUCACUUUGAGAGAGGUACCGAUUAUCAGGUACCUCAAAAAAAGAAUAUUUUAGGUUUUUAAUAUAUGAUAAUUUAGUAAUUUUACCUCCAAUAUAUUAUCAAAUCUCUAUUCUCUCUUUGUUUCCUUUUUCUCUCUCUAUCUUUCUUCUCCAUCCGCUAAAAAAGGGUAGGAUUCGAAGCGGAUUUUGAAAAAUCCGAACCUAAACUCGACUAUAUAUCAAAUCCAAAAUCCAAACCCGAAUCCGAUGAAUUUUAGAAAAUCAUAUCCAUACCCGUACCUGGCUAGAAAUUCAAAACCCAAACCUGAAAAUCCAAACCCUAAACAUUUAUUCUUUUUACAAUAUUUUAAAAUAUAUUAAAUUAAAUCUAAAUUUUAAAAAUACAUAUUCAAAUAUAACAUCAAACAUUUAUGUGUAUUAUAUAUAAUGUAAAAUAAAUUCGGAUUCCGGUUUGUUCCGGGUUCGAAUCAGAUACAAUCGAAAUCCAUACCAGAAUUUAAAUCCGCCGGAUUUUUAUUUUUGAUAUUCGUAUCCAAAACUAUAUCCAUUUAGUAUAGGUAAAUCUACUGCGUUUGCUUUCGGGUUUGGAUUCGAAUUCAGAUAAAAUUAUAGUAUCCGUAUCCAUUCCGUAUCCAUUGACAUCCGUAAUCCACAUAUAUUUGUCAUAUUCGUAAUCUACAGAUAUUUCAUUAAAAAAUAUUACAACAUAUUAAAUACGUUGAAUUUUGUCUACAUUCAAAAUUUUUUAAAGUUUGCGAUAAAAAAUUAAUAUCUAAACGAGAGAAAUUUAAAAACUUUUUAAAACAAAUUAAAUAUGAUGAAUCGUUAUUAUCAACAUUAAAUUUGUUAAAAUAGUAACACAAAAUUUCUCUUAGGGCCCGUUUGGUUCGAGUUAUGUAAUAUUACAAAGUAUCUCGACAUAUCCAGGUAUUUUGGAUUUCGGCGUAAGAUUACUACUGAUGCCGCAUUAGCGCGUUUGGUUUAAUGCAGUAAUGUAAUACUAAAUUACACUGUUUAUAGCAUUAAUAUGUUUGGUUCAGUUUUUAAAAUUUAGUAAUCCUGACAUAAAAGUAUAGUUUUUUUCAAAAUUAUCCUUGUUGUGGUCAUUUGAAUAUUAUUUUUUGCGGAAAUGACAAAUGGAGGGAAGGAGAUCAUAAUGAUUACCUGGGAGGACGACGCAAUAGAAGAUGAUAGGUGUUCGUACGCGCGCACACGAGAGAGAGAGAGAGAGAGAGAGAGAGAGAGAGAGAGAGAGAGAGAGAGAGACGUUGAGAGAGAGAGAGCGAGAGAAAGCGGCGUGCGAGAGAGGGGGGAAGGAGAGAGAGAGAGAUGAAAAUAAUACUGUUAAUUAGAUUUAGGGUUGUUGGAGGGUAAAAUUAUCAUUUUACAUAAUAUGUAGUAUUAACGGGUUUUAGUAAUGCAAGAUACACGACCCCCCUCCCGUUAAUAUUUUCGAUGUAAUCCUGCUCGAUUUGUAAUGCUACAUUAACGACUAGAUUACAUAGCGGAUUAACCAAGCACAGUUAUCCUGGCAGGAUUGCCUGUAAUCCUGCCAGGAUAACUCGAACCAAACGCACCCUUAUUUACAUUUAACGUUUUAAAUUUAAAAUAUUAAAUAUUUAAAUUCAACAUAUUUGGAAAUAUUACAAUUUCUAAAAUUCCUAAAAUUUAAAUUAAUGCCUAAAUUAGAAGAAUUCUAAAAUUUCUAAAAUUAAUGCCUAAAAUUUGGGAUAUCAAUCAAAUAUUAAAUUAAUGCUUAAAUUAGUGCAAAUUAAUACUAAAUUUUAGGAAUUUUAGAAAUUGUAAUAUNUUUUAGUUUUUAAAUUUUUUUUGUAUCUGUUGACCCGCUCCUCCCUCUCUUUUUUUCCCUUUCCUCUUCUAAUAUUUUUUUCCCUUUUCCCUCUCUUUUCUAAUCUUUUUUGUUUUGUUUCGUAUAAUUUUAGAUCCCAUUCAAAAAUUAAAAAAAUAAAUUUAAAAAUUAAAUUUUAAUCCGUUUCGGUGCUAUUUACUAUAUAGUUUAAAAUUUUUAAAAUUUAUAUAAAUUUCCCGCUGCGUAGCGCGGGCCUUCACUAGU
rnacentral:lncRNA from 1 species